rnacentral:rRNA from 1 species
AGAGUUUGAUCCUGGCUCAGAUUGAACGCUGGCGGUAGGCCUAAUACAUGCAAGUCGAACGAAGUAGCAAUACUUAGUGGCAGACGGGUGAGUAACAUGUGGGUAUCUUCCCUUUGGUGAGGAAUAACACGAGGAAACUUGUGCUAAUACCGGAUAAGCCUUCACAGGGAAAGCUUUAGCGCCAAAGGAUGAGCCCGCACUUGAUUAGCUAGUUGGUAAGGUAAUGGCUUACCAAGGCUACGAUCAAUAGCUGAUCUGAGAGGAUGAUCAGCCACAUUGGGACUGAGACACGGCCCAAACUUCUACGGAAGGCAGCAGUGGGGAGUCUUGCACAAUGGGGGAAACCCUGAUGCAGCGAUGCCGCGUGAGUGAAGAAGGCCCUUGGGUUGUAAAGCUCUUUCGUCGGGGAAGAAAAUGACUGUACCCGAAUAAGAAGGUCCGGCUAACUUCGUGCCAGCAGCCGCGGUAAUACGAAGGGACCUAGCGUAGUUCGGAAUUACUGGGCUUAAAGAGCUCGUAGGUGGUUAGAAAAGUUGGUGGUGAAAUCCCAAGGCUUAACCUUGGAACUGCCAUCAAAACUUUUUAACUAGAGUAUGAUAGAGGAAAGUGGAAUUUCUAGUGUAGAGGUGAAAUUCGUAGAUAUUAGAAAGAACACCAAAUGCGAAGGCAGCUUUCUGGAUCAUUACUGACACUGAGGAGCGAAAGCAUGGGUAGCGAAGAGGAUUAGAUACCCUCGUAGUCCAUGCCGUAAACGAUGUGUGCUAGACGUUGGAAAUUUAUUUUUCAGUGUCGCAGCAAAAGCGUUAAGCACACCGCCUGGGGAGUACGACCGCAAGGUUAAAACUCAAAUGAAUUGACGGGGACCCGCACAAGUAGUGGAGCAUGUGGUUUAAUUCGAAGAUACGCGCAGAACCUUACCAACACUUGACAUGUUCGUCGCGACUCUAAGAGAUUAGAGUCUUCGGUUCGGCCGGACGAAACACAGGUGCUGCAUGGCUGUCGUCAGCUCGUGUCGUGAGAUGUUGGGUUAAGUCCCGCAACGAGCGCAACCCUUACUUUUAGUUGCUACCAUUUAGUUGGGCACUCUAAAAGAACUGCCGGUGAUAAGCUGGAGGAAGGUGGGGAUGACGUCAAGUCCUCAUGGCCCUUAUGUGUUGGGCUACACACGUGCUACAAUGGUACUUACAGUGAGAAGCGAAGAGGCGACUCUAAGCUAAUCCCUAAAAAGUGCCUCAGUUCGGAUUGUACUCUGCAACUCGAGUACAUGAAGCUGGAAUUACUAGUAAUCGCGGAUCAGCGCGCCGCGGUGAAUACGUUCCCGGGUCUUGUACACACCGCCCGUCACACCAUGGAAGUUGGUUACACCUUAAGGCAAGGAUUAAAAUCUUUGACUACGGUACGAUCAGCGACUGGGGUGAAGUCGUAACAAGGUAACC